AACUUAAAUGAUCUCUUCGGAGUGAAUUUAAGUGGAUUAGUGGCGGAUGGGUGAGUAACGCGUGAGUGACCUGCCCAGCAGUGGGGAAUAACAGUGAGAAAUCAUUGCUAAUACCGCAUAGCUUACAAGUGCUUCAUGGUACCUGUAAGAAAGACGGCCUUCGUGCUGUCGCUGUUGGAUGGACUCGCGUCUGAUUAGCCAGUUGGUGGGGUAACGGCCUACCAAAGCAAUGAUCAGUAGCCGGCCUGAGAGGGUGAACGGCCACAUUGGGACUGAGACACGGCCCAAACUCCUACGGGAGGCAGCAGUGGGGAAUCUUCCGCAAUGGGCGCAAGCCUGACGGAGCAAUGCCGCGUGAGUGAAGAAGGCCUUCGGGUUGUAAAACUCUGUCCUCAUCCAAGAGAAGGAAAGGUAGUAACUGGCCUUUCCAGGACGGUAGAUGAGGAGGAAGCCCCGGCUAACUAUGUGCCAGCAGCCGCGGUAAAACAUAGGGGGCAAGCGUUGUCCGGAAUCACUGGGCGUAAAGGGCGCGCAGGCGGUCUGUUAAGUCAGAUGUGAAAGGUUAGGGCUCAACCCUGAACGUGCAUCUGAUACUGGCAGACUUGAGUAUGGAAGAGGUAAGUGGAAUUCCUAGUGUAGCGGUGAAAUGCGUAGAUAUUAGGAGGAACACCAGUGGCGAAGGCGACUUACUGGGCCAUAACUGACGCUGAGGCGCGAAAGCGUGGGGAGCAAACAGGAUUAGAUACCCUGGUAGUCCACGCCGUAAACGAUGGGUACUAGGUGUCGGAGGUUUCAAGACCGUCGGUGCCGCAGUUACACAAUAAGUACCCCGCCUGGGGAGUACGUCGCA
rnacentral:rRNA from 1 species